rnacentral:lncRNA from 1 species
CUCCUGAGAAACACCUUCCCCAAUCCCACCCUCUAUUUCUACCCUGCUCCCAUCCCUCAUUAAAACCCUAUCCCCUUCCCACCCCUCCCUACCCCACCCGCCCCUCCCUCCACUCCACCCCCCAUCUCCACCUCCUCCCCGUCACCCCAGCGCCCCUUGAAAGGACCAAGACAUGAAGGUGCAGAGGCUGUUGUUCUGGCUGCUCUUGCUCUGGUGUCCCAGUUCCCCAAACCCAAAUGAAGCUGGAAAAUACACACUGUGAACUGAAGGCACAGAAGAGUCAACUGGCAGCUGCUGAGGAAAAUUUGAAACUGGUUACCGAAGAGAUAGACAAGUAUAAACAAGAAAUUGGAGAAAUGCAAGAUCAGCUACAGAAGGCAGAGCUCAACUUCAAACUCAAGGUCGCAGCUCAUGAGAGAAGUGCUCUAGAUAAUUGGGUUAAGGCUCGGUUUUGGGAGAGGAAGAUAGUGCAGCAGAGCAGGGAGAACACCUACAUGAAACACAGACUGCACAUGAUGAGGAGAGACACGCCUCCUGAGGGAUCCAUGAGGCAGGAACCGAUGCCGGGAAGAUCCGAGAUAUGGAACCGUGUGCAGAGAGCGAUUGCCCACUGGAACAAGAAGCCGAUCGAGGGCAUGUUGCAGCAGAAAUUAAACUGCUGCAUUUCACAUCGUGCUCCUUACCUGUCCACGGAGGGAUGUCCUUGUCACAUUCUCCUGGCACUGGUUUCUGCCUCCUCGAUUCCUCUGGUGGCCUCUGUCUUUGGAUUUCUUCCAGUCUUGGAAGAUGGAGAUGAAUCAAUUUCACUAAGAAUUACCACACCCAGGCUUCCCCUGGACAAGAAACUGGCUUCUCCUUAGAAACCUCACAACGCCCUUAACUGAAGUAUGUCAAACUCCUGUACUGGUGUUUCAAGUGGGCAACCUCCCUGCUCUGCUCCACCCCGCCAUCACCCCAUCCAGAUCAGGAGCCCUGAGAUGUGGGAGAGAAACACACCCACGUUCAGCUGGGGCAGAGCGCGCACAAGAGGAGGAGAGAAAAACAUUCUUACCCAGUUGUCCCGAGCCACCUUCUCCUGAAGAGUGAUCUGAAAGAGUCAGCACAUCAGUCAAAAACCCACUGCACAGAGAUUCAGUGGGCCUUUGAUCCUCUGCAUUAGGUGCUGAAGGAUUCAGAAAACACUGGGCAGAACUUGCGGGCUCCCUGGUGUCUGAAAGGGGGAGCUCUUGCUGCUGCAGCUGUUCUUACAUCUCUUCUUUCUGUUCCUGCGAGUGACAAAUGCUUUCAUCAGGCGGAGUACAACGUGGAGUAGGGCUCUUUAGUCUGCCCAGGUUCCUGUUAUGAGAACUGAACUCUCAUAUACAUUUUGCAAUCAUAUAAGACAUAUUUCACAUAAUUAUCAAAAUACGGUAGGCUUGAAGCUGUUGCUAAGUCAUUUUGUAUUCACUAUUUAAUGCUUGUGGGGAUCUGAGCUGAUAAGGUCUCCUUACCAGUCAUGACAGCUCCCUAGUUAAUCCUGCAAUGAGUAUCUUUCAUCAUAAAGUUUGAUUCUCCUUUUCCUCAUAUCCUUAUCGUGUUUCUCCAGGCUACAACAAGUGGGUCUCUAAAAUGGCACGGUCCUUUUUGUUGAUGUGAUUUGUCCUACACCAAACUGCUUCUUAAGGUUUAUAACCAUUUAUACCACCUCCAGAAGCAUGUCUGGAA